UUAUUUGUAUCCAGCUGAAGUAUGGCAUUGUAAGGUAUUGCAUGCCAACAAUGGCAUCCAUCAGGACAAGCUGCAUUCAGAUGAUGAAGAUACACCGAGUCCGCCCACCAUUUUAAAUUAUUCCCUAAAGACCGACGGAAAUCACCAAGAUUUGAGAGAUAUUUGAUCACGUCUUUGUCCAGUGUUUG